GGAACUGUCGUCAACACAACUCGUGCUGUAGCUGUGUUCAGUAGGGGAAUGGAAGGAGAUUAUGCUCAAGCCUUUGCACAACUAUUACCUGUACGACAUCAUGGUACAGAGUAUGUUCUGUCUACACAUGACUAUCCGUCUGAAAGUGACUCUACAUACCAGCUACACGUUGUUAGUGAUCAGAGCGACACUGAAAUUAGGCUGAACAAUGGAUCUACAUUCACUCUUGAUGACAACCGUGUGUAUCGCCGAAACCUCGUGUAUAACGAGACACUGUAUUUUAAUACCACAAGACCUGCCAUUGCAACCCUGUGCAGAAAACCCUCAAACAUAAAUAAUCAUGGAUUUGUUGUUGUAACUCCAGUUAAGUAUUUCAUCAACAAUGCACAGGUUUAUUAUACAUGGUGUGUAAACAUACUGACUAAACACCACGUAACAGAUAUUGAAGUAGAUAGGAGUGGCAUGACUCCUGCUACAGUGCACUGGGUGGACAUCCCUGGCAGUGAUUACAAAGCGGGAAAAACCUGUUUACACCACGAUCACUUUGUCCGCUCCACCAACAGAUUCGCUGUGUAUGGGUUUUACUCCGACAUUUUUAAUUGAGGCUACCAUUUCCCAGCUGACCCAUCAACCACACGUGCUGCUGCAGCCCAUCGCUGGAAUCAGAUGAUGUUGUUUCGAUGGUCACAAGCGCCGACAACGGCGACCCAGACGAAUCUGACGAUGAGCCAGAACCUACACCUCCCCCUACUGUCAGCUAAAUGAGAGCUUAUAUGGACUGUAUGAUCAAUUAUGUCGAGUGUGUUGGAGAUGCCAAGAACUUAGAGACAAUGGUCAGCAUGUGUGCAUCUUUCAAGCCACUCUCCAAGCAGACUGUCAUUGGCAAUUUCUUUCAACCCGAGUUCUCCGAGACACAGGAGACACAGGAGCUUGAAGAUAUGAACUGGUUGUAACUUUGAAACCAGUGAGGUACAUUCGAUGUGGACUGGAUGCUGUUGCGUCAAAAAAUAUGAUAUCAUUGUUUAACCAUUGAUGCUGAUUGCUCAAAGUGUAUAACAAUGAAUCAUUUCUAUGUGUUUGUUGGUUCAUUGUUUAACGCCAGACUCACAUCUAUGCGUGAACCAUGUUGGCGAGCCGUGAUUACUCAAGACUCUGACCCGGGUCUUCAAGGGGAUAUUCGGUCUGCCGAUGUAUUGGUUGUCGUCGAUAAACGAAAUAAAUCAGUUACAAUGAAUUUGGAUACAAUGCAAGUAAGUAGGCAAGAUAGGUGGGCGCAGGUGGUCCAGUUGUCUGUUGAAAUAUGUGUCCAAUGGCGGACCAGUCAACUAUGGUCGUAGGUUCGAAUCCCGGUUCGCCAUGACCAUAUAUCUGUGUUUGUUGAUAUAUCAUAGCCUUGCUUGUGGGUUUCAUCAAAGUGACAAGUAUCCAAUGCUUGCAUCACAACGGAGUUUUACGGUGUGAAACCAAACUCACUGACCAACUAAACCACACUGGGGUCAAGGGAAUGUAGUGACCAGUAAAUGUGAGCAAUGGUACCGCGUCAGUGGUAUUUUACUGAGGUAAUCAGAGUCGGGCACCUAAAGACCAACACACAAAGUCUGUGAUCUAACCCACUCAGCCAGCGCUCUAGAAGGUCGGACAACUGAUAGUCUAUAUCACGUACUUUGCGUGCCUCUGAUAAAUAUAACUUGGCACACGCUGCAGGAUUUCCAGUGUACACAGAAACAGGGUAGUUUCGAAUCCACAUGGAAUAUUCAAAGAUGAAUGUAAAUGAAAGGGUGUGUUUUUUUAAUGUAGUGAUAAGAUUGUGGAUGAACGCCACGUACUG